rnacentral:sRNA from 1 species
GAGUUGAAGUCCGUAUGAGUCUUUGGCUUUGUAUCUUUGACAAGGAAACACUACAUAGGCUUUUAAGAUCCUGUUGCGGUUCUAGUUCUUAUACUCAAUCAUACACAUGACCUCU